CAACUGGGCAGAGGGAUCCUCCUCCCAUCAUCACUGAGAGAUGACUGACUCACACCUAGUCUCUCACAUAUUGAUGUUUCUAUCAUGGGACUGGAGCCAAAGACUAUCAUCAACGUCAUCUAGGGAAGAAAAGACCAAAAUGAGUCAGGAAGCUCAGCUACUGUCCUUUGAGAGAAUGAAUACUGCUUCCAUACUCAGAUACUCAGCUCAGAUACUGUGUGAUGGACUUGAACAGGAACUCACUCAGCCAAGUGCUGGAAUCAGUGCAGCUUUGGUCCAGCCUGUGGUUGAACCUUCUUGUAUGCUGCAAGUUGUGUAUUAUAAGAUAGAGAGAUAGAGAGAGAUAG